GCCUUCGGGGUGUAGUGGUCAUCACACUCGACGUGCCACCGAGAGAUCCGUGGUACGAUUCCCGGCGGAGGUG
rnacentral:tRNA from 1 species